rnacentral:rRNA from 1 species
UACGUAGGGUGCGAGCGUUGUCCGGAAUUAUUGGGCGUAAAGAGCUCGUAGGCGGUGUGUCACGUCGGCCGUGAAAACCUGCAGCUUAACUGUGGGCGUGCGGUCGGUACGGGCAUCACUGGAGUUCGGCAGGGGAGACUGGAAUUCCUGGUGUAGCGGUGAAAUGCGCAGAUAUCAGGAGGAACACCGGUGGCGAAGGCGGGUCUCUGGGCCGAUACUGACGCUGAGGAGCGAAAGCGUGGGGAGCAAACAGG